rnacentral:rRNA from 1 species
UACGUAGGGUGCGAGCGUUGUCCGGAAUUAUUGGGCGUAAAGAGCGUGUAGGCGGCCAGGUAGGUCCGUUGUGAAAACUGGAGGCUUAACCUCCAGCUGUCGAUGGAAACCAUCUGGCUAGAGUCCGGAAGAGGAGAGUGGAAUUCCUGGUGUAGCGGUGAAAUGCGCAGAUAUCAGGAAGAACACCCGUGGCGAAGGCGGCUCUCUGGGGACGGUACUGACGCUGAGACGCGAAAAGCGUGGGGGAGCGAACAGG